UCCGGUUUAUCACCGGCAGUCUUCUUAGAGUCCCCGGCCGAACCGCUGGCAACUAAGAACGAGGGUUGCGCUCGUUACGGGACUUAACCCAACAUCUCACGACACGAGCUGACGACAGCCAUGCAGCACCUGUCUCUAGGUUCCCGAAGGCACUCCCGCAUUUCUGCAGGAUUCCUAGGAUGUCAAGAGUAGGUAAGGUUCUUCGCGUUGCAUCGAAUUAAACCACAUGCUCCACCGCUUGUGCGGGCCCCCGUCAAUUCCUUUAAGUUUUAGCCUUGCGGCCGUACUCCCCAGGCGGAGAACUUAACGCGUUAGCUUCGGCACUAGAAAGACAAGCUUCCCAACGCCCAGUUCUCAUCGUUUACGGCGUGGACUAC
rnacentral:misc_RNA from 1 species